CAUAAUAUGGAUAUUACUGUGAUGAAGAUAUCAGACCCACACAUCCCUCUUACUACUUAUAGAAGCUCUGCUCGGGUUUAACAACAAAUUCACAGAAUAUGGACUGUGGUAUAAUAUUACACGCUCUUUUUCUGGUGUCUGUUUCAGGACAGACUCUGUACCAGGACAAGAUAUCAGAGACUAAGAAAAAAGGGCAGAGUGUCUCAUUCAAAUGUGCAGUUACUGGCCGAUGUUUGAAUGACUACAUCCACUGGUACCAGAAAAAAGAAGGUGAACCCUUCACUUGGAAAGAAUCCAGUAAAUCCACAGAGCUGAAGAUCCAGUCAGUUGAUGACUCCCAUUCUGCCACCUACUACUGUGCCUGUUAUCAAAGUGGAACCCACAACAUAGUCAAGAUCUCAUGGAUGACGGUGGAUGGAAGGGGCCAAAAAGUGGUUGUGCAAAACGGACCGGAGGAACAGCUGGAACAGAUAGAUGAAGGACAGACAAUCAGUAUGAUCAUCAUUGAUAAAGUGAUGGCCAACGCAAACAAAUACAGCUGUUCUGUAAAGCAUGAAAGGGGCAUUCAAGAGGUUGACAUACCAAAUGAGAAACAAUCUGAAGCUCCUCCAGCCACCAAGGUAGCACCAACCUGUCCUCCCAGAAAUUACAAUCAGGACCCAGCGACUCUGGAGGUUGCAGACGACUACUUCUUGACAUGGAACUUUUCACUGUGCUUAACAAAAGUAUUUGGCUCUGGUACAACACUUUAUGUGACAGACAAGCAAGUCCAAAGACCCACGGUGACAGUUUUUCCAGCAUCUAAACAUGAGUCAGAUGAGAAGGUCAUCCUGCUGUGUCUGGCUAGAGAAAUGUAUCCAGACUUGGUCAAGAUCUCAUGGAAGAUAGAGGAUGGAAGUGGCCACAAAGAGGAAGUGUCCGUAAGAGAGAAGGAAGAGCUGGAACAGAGAGAGAAUGGACAGACGACCAGUAUGAUUAUCAUUGAUAAAAGGAAGGCUGACAGAAACAAAUACAGCUGUUCUGUGAAACAUGAACGGGGCAGUCAAGAUUAUCCGAUACCAAAAGAGAAACCAACUGAAUCUCACCCAGCCACCAUGACUGUUCCAAACUGUCCUUCCAGCAAUUACACACAGGUGCUUAAUGUUACAGAAGGUUUUUUCAAGUCCAUGUUAAGUCAAAACCUGGCAUCUCUGGCUUAUACACUGAUGAUAGUGAAGAGCCUGGUAUACUGCUGUGGGCUCGCUCUCCUGCUGCAACUUACAAAACUGAGAAAAGACACCCUGUAGACACAUUUAUUGAAAUGAUGUCCACAGUGUGGAUAGUUUAAAUGUGUGGUGACCAGAAAUUAUUUGAAAUCGCAUUAAGACCAAACAUUUCAAUUGAGGUUUUUCCCUGCAUUACUUACUGUAAUACAUGCUAAAAUAUUGUGAUUCAUAGAUAGUGGUAAGAACAUCUAAACAGCAAGCGAAUGUUUGCUGGUUUGAAUCCCUGAGCCGGAAAGGUGAAGAAUUGUUGUUCUGUCCCUGAGCAAUUUAGUUCACUCUAAUUGCUUCCAGGUCUUUUUGAGAAUGUGUACUUAGUAAUACUUGGUAAAACAAGGGUAAAACAAUUAUAAUAGUAACUUCAACUACAUAAUCUACAAUUAUUUGCAUACCAUUUCAUUUUAGUAGUGAAGGUUUUCUGAAGAACAAAAGCAAAGCAAAUAUGGAAGUAGACACAAUAUUAUUUAAAUUUACACUGUUAUUAAAAAGUAAUUUAAUUAUUCAGAAACAAAUGUACUUUAAUAUUAUAUAUACUUAUUAUUUCAAGAAAAUAAACUUAAUACCGUU